GUGAGUUCUCACAAGAUCUGGUCGUUUGAAACUGUGUAGCACUUCCCCUUUUGCUCUCGCUCUCUCCUGCUGACAGUGAGAAGAUGGGCUUGCUUCCCCUUCACCCUUUGCCAGGAUUGUAAGUUUCCUGAGGCUUCUGUACAGCCUGCAGAACUAUGAGCAUGCAGAGGUCAGGACAAGAGCAGCUGGUCCAGCCACACUGUGUGCACAGGGACAGGCCUGUCUUCACCUGUGCUCACCGGGGCCUCUUCCAGAGGUCUCUGCAGCAGAAAGCAUGUGCUCCACGUACCGGCCCCCAGCGUCCCACCAGACCAGCGCCGAUCCCUGUGGGAGCUGAAGAGGAACUGUGCUGAAUGAGAACAUUUAAAGUGAAUCAUGUGUGGACUCCCUAUGCUCCCUGACUCCUUGUUUAUUUCUACCUUUUCUGGCGGAUGCUAUUAAUAAAAUGCUAGGAAAAUCUUUAAACAUGACAUGAGUCAAGGGUACAGAGCUCUCAGUUCAGGCCCUCAGUGCCUAAGAAGCAAAUUUUAUUUGUUUUUUAGAAUGCCACGUAGUUUUCUAUUUCAAGCUCCCCUUCUCUCAAGGCAGAUAAAACUCUGCUUCCAAUCAUGAAGAUGCCCUCCUUUGCCCCCUGGUGUAUUGACGAGAUUCGAGGGCAGGGCUCUGGGUCCUCAGAACCAUCUCUCCAUGCAGCAUCUCCUGCAAGAUCCGUCUCUCAUCCGACCUUGGCUCUGAGUCUGUGAAGGUCACUGCUAAAUUGUCGGUGACAUCUCUGUCAUUUCCAGCCCCUCGUGUCCACCAGGGAUUCUCACUGGCCCUAGGUUCUCAGCAGCUUAGACUGGCAUGUUUUCUCUAGCGUCCUG
rnacentral:lncRNA from 1 species